rnacentral:rRNA from 1 species
AUGCAGGAAAGCAGGGGGUCUUUUGCAAAAAUGAUGCACGGGAACGGCUGCGACGACGCUUCCUGCGCCGUGUGCCGGAGCUGCAGGUCGAGGCCGACGAAGUGGGGCUGCCCUGGCUCCUGGAGGUCGGCGUCCCUCAGGCUGCUGCUGGUGGCCGGCGGCUGCGAAGGUGGUUGGACCGGCGAGUCCGGGCCGGCCGGCCGGGGAGGAGUGGGAGCUUGGCGGAGAAGUCGGCGUUGGUGGAGGAGGCCAACGGCGGCGUGGGCGGGAGCUCGAGACUGCCGUCCAUCGCGCACUCGUCGUCGUCCACGUAAGGGACUCUCACCGCCACAAUGCCGACGCCCGACGGCACCAUGGAGUACUGGCUCGAACCGGCCGAGCUUGCAACCCUGCACCGGGAGGUCGGCGACUCGGCGUCGAGUGUCGACCCGUACUGGGUGCCGCCUCCAUGGUGGAAGCGCGGAGAUCCGUGUCCGCGGACGGCUACACGCUCAAGGCAAAGGUGCAGGUGGAGGAGCUCACCAAGGAGCUCGCCGGAGUAAAAAAUCGGUGAAGGCACAUCAAGGCACAAUGAACAAUGAGGGGAAAUCUGAGGCAGUCAAAGCCUACAUUUCUCAUGAGACUUAUCAGGACAAGUAUGAGUGUGUGCUGAAGGCCAAUGGCAAUCUGGAAAAGCAGGUUCUAUCCUUGGAGGAGAAGUACGCGAACGCAACACGAGCGAAUGGCAAGCUGGAGGAGGAGGUUCUGUUCCUCAAGGAGAAGUAUGAGGCAAUGCUUGAGAAAAACACCAGGCUGGAGGGGCAUGUGGCUGCUCUGUCCACUUCUUUCCUACUCCAGUUGAUUGCUAGUAGCUGCACUUUAUCAACUGCACCAGUUGCAUCAUAA